rnacentral:lncRNA from 10 species
CCGGCGGCAGCCUCGGCGGUCUGGGCGGGGCGGGAAGCCCGCUUUCAACCCCGCGUACCCUCUGACCCCGGAAGUGCUUGCUGCGCAGGACCCCUUGAAAAAAAAUGAGGACCCGUCUUUUUUAGGUCACAAGAUUGCGCCAACCCUUACAUGGUCCUUAAAAAAAAAACCUUCUGACACUGCAGUAGUGAAAAUGAAGCGCACGAUGGGCGGAAGCUAGGAAGACAAACAUAAAGAUGAAGUGCUUAAUUCAAGGUCACACAAUGUCGGGGAUGGACCUCCAGAUUUCCUUACUGACCUGCAUUAUCUUGUGGAUACCUGAGUGAAUUCCACACCACCCAUUUUAUAGAUGAAACCACUGAGACAUGGAGCAAUUGACUGAGUAGUCACUGCCCCACCCCUGCCUGGAGCCUCACACAUGACUCGCCUCCUCUCAGUGACCACAGGUUGGUUGAGGGGUUUAACAAGGCUAAGAAGGAAAACAAGCUCAGGGCUCCCACUGAUUGUACAUUAUGGUGAGACGUGGUCUUGUAACACAGUGGUUAAGAAUGUGACUUUGGAGCCAGCCUGCUAGGGGCUGAAUUCUGACUCAGCCAUUUACUAACUGUGUGACCUUAGGGAGGAGGACCUGGUUGAUAGAAGAAUUUAUCUCGUAGUCUUAACAUCCACUGUAAUUCCAAACUUUGAGGACGAUAGAGAUCAGUGGGCUUUGACUGCCCAGCAUGCAGUCUCCAUUCUUAGGUGGGUUCCCAAGCCUGUAAAAUGUAAGCCUUAUGCUGCUGAGGGCCAUCUUGCCACCCUGAGGGAAACGCUGCCUGAGAAUGAAACAAGCAUAAGUAAAAGCUGAGCUGUGAGAUGGAGCAAGAUGAAGGCCACAUGACAUCUUUGGAGCACCUGGAUCUAACUGUGCCUUAAGCUAGUCUAACCCUGAACAUUUCAUCAUUUCAUUGACAUGAGCCCAGGUUUUCUUUUUUUUUGGAUGGAGUCUUGCUCUGUCGCCCAGGCUGGAGUGCAGUAGCUCAAUCUCGGCUCACUGCAAGCUCCACCUCCCGGGUUCACGCCAUUCUCCUGCCUUAGCCUCCCAAGUAGCUGGGACAACAGGCGCCCACCACCACUCCCAGCUAAUUUUUUGUAUUUUUAGUAGAGACGGGGUUUUACCAUGUUAGCCGGGAUGGUCUUGAUCUCCUGACCUCAUGAUCCGCCCGCCUCGGCCUCCCAAAGUGCUGGGAUUACAGGUGUGAGCCACUGCACCCAGCCCUCAGGUUUUCCCUUUUUUUACCCCUCCUUUUGAAAAUUUGAUGUGGAAUUUUGCCACCUGCAGCCAGAAGAGUUUUAACUAAUCAGUGCCAUAAAUUUUAUAUAGUUCUCCUUGCAAAAUGUGGAUCAGCCUUUCUCAGCAAAUCCUUUGUCAUAAAGUGCUGAAUUGUAAGUUUGUCAUGAGAAUCACAUGAGAUCAUGCAUGUGAAGAACCUGGCAUUAUCCUCCUCAUAGAAAAAAACCAGUAAAUAUUAACUACAGGAAGCAAGGAAGGAGUGGGGUGAGGGGAAGAAGAAGGGGUACUGAUUUAAAAGAACCCUGGAGUCCUAAGGAUAAUCUAGGAACCCUCAGACCCAAUCCGAUACCCCUAUUCUAAAUGCUCCUAGUGCCCUGUACCUUCCCCUCAUAAGCCUUCAUUAUCAUUGUAAUGAUAUGUUUAUGUAAUAUUUUGAUUAAUGUCUCUCCUUCACUGACCUAGCAGUUCUAGCAGGGCAGUGAUUUUGCUGUGUUGCAUCCCCAGCACCUAGUCUGGUAUGUGGCAUUCAGCAUAUGUUUAUUGAAUGAAUGGCCAUGUGGUUAUUCAGAUCCUCCUUGAUUAUUGGGGUUAGGAUUGUGGCAGAAGUGGCAAAAUCAGGGAGAGUAGUCCCUGUCCCCUCUGUAUCUUAUACACUGCCCACACUCCCAACACACAUACACAUACAGAGAAUUUUGUCUCAAUUAGAUAAUUAACUUCUGCUUGGUUGUAAACCAAACCACUGGUUCUUAAACUUUCAUUGGAUCAUUUUAUUGAAGAAUUAAAUAGUGUGGUUCUGGCCUAAUGUCUGGAAAGCCUUGCAGAGGAGUGGAUUAGGUCUUUGUGAUAAACAGGCAGCCUUCCCUGCUCCUGUGUCUUUAUAAAAUCUAUUUAACUGGAGUAGUCCACCCUCCCUCAGGCUCUUACAGGAAUAUGUUGGAGGCUGUAGGAAGGUGGGAAACCGAGAGGGAAAGGACUGGGCCGCUGGAGACUUCACUCAUUCCCUAGCAAGAAACAAAAGCAGUAAAAGGUGGCCCGAGGACAACCUGAAGCUCACUCCUUCAGCACUUUUGGCUGGAGGUCACUUGUUGGAGCCCCACUCAGAGCUCAGCACACCACCCCACCAGCAGCCUCCUCCUCCCAGCUGAGGCUGCAUUUCAUCCCUUCCCCCAGCCUGCUUUCCCUGAGAUAGGGGAGUGUUUCCCAGGGCCCAUGUGACUUCCACUGGCAAGUGACGAUUACCAAUGGUUUACUAGUCAGUGAAACUACCAAAGGCUUUUGUGCUGUAGUAAUCCUUUUCCUGUUUAAAACUCUGGGGAUUUUCUAAUGUUGCCAAUAGUUUUUCAAGUCAGCAAUUACUGUGUGGAUUAUGUAAUGGCUCGGUAUUAAAAAUAGAAAAGACUGGAGUUUGCAUCUAUUUUAACCAAAUCUUGAAAACAGAGCAAAGGGAGGGGAAGGGUGGAGAGGGAGAGACCAGAGGAGGAGGGAGAAAAAGAGAUCAUGUGACUGGAUAAGACAGCUCACAAUUCACUGUGCCUUUCUCCCACCAUUUGUGGCCCAAGGACCUGUACUCCCUCCUCAGCCUCCUCUAGGGAGGGGUCCUUGAUGAGAAUUCUGAGGACACAAGACCCCUUGUGGAUAUUUCUUAGCUCAGCCUUGGUGUGCUUACCUGCUUCUGACAAGCAAAGUGGCCAAGUAGGGGAGGGAGUUGAAUCUGAUGUCCUCCACUAAGUCCAG